rnacentral:rRNA from 1 species
UACGUAGGGCGCAAGCGUUGUCCGGAAUUAUUGGGCGUAAAGAGCUCGUAGGCGGCUUGUCACGUCGAUUGUGAAAGCCCGAGGCUUAACCUCGGGUCUGCAGUCGAUACGGGCUAGCUAGAGUGUGGUAGGGGAGAUCGGAAUUCCUGGUGUAGCGGUGAAAUGCGCAGAUAUCAGGAGGAACACCGGUGGCGAAGGCGGAUCUCUGGGCCAUUACUGACGCUGAGGAGCGAAGCGUGGGGAGCAAACAGG